UACGUAGAGUGCGAGCGUUGUCCGGAAUUAUUGGGCGUAAAGAGCUCGUAGGCGGUUUGUCGCGUCGACUGUGAAAACCUACAGCUUAACUGUGGGCUUGCAGUCGAUACGGGCAGACUUGAGUUCGGUAGGGGAGACUGGAAUUCCUGGUGUAGCGGUGAAAUGCGCAGAUAUCAGGAGGAACACCGGUGGCGAAGGCGGGUCUCUGGGCCGAUACUGACGCUGAGGAGCGAAAGCGUGGGGAGCGAACAGG
rnacentral:rRNA from 1 species